GUGGGAGAAACUGUCCGAGGUGAUCUC
rnacentral:sRNA from 1 species